ACGACUGUAGCUUAGCGGUAAAGCACAUUUGCAAGCAUACGUAAUGUAUAUCUGUUCGACUCAGGCCAGUCGUA